rnacentral:rRNA from 1 species
UACGGAGGAGGCAAGCGUUAUCCGGAAUUACUGGGCGUAAAGGGCGCGUAGGCGGUUCGUUAAGUCCUGUGUGAAAUCCCCCGGCUCAACUGGGGAACUGCACAGGAAACUAGCGGGCUUGAGUUCGGGAGAGGGAAGCGGAAUUCCGGGUGUAGCGGUGAAAUGCGUAGAUAUCCGGAGGAACACCGGUGGCGAAGGCGGCUUCCUGGACCGACACUGACGCUGAGGCGCGAAAGCUAGGGGAGCAAACGGG